UACGUAGGGGGCGAGCGUUGUCCGGAAUUAUUGGGCGUAAAGAGCGUGUAGGCGGCUCGUCGCGUCAGCUGUGAAAACCCGCGGCUUAACCGUGGGCUUGCAGCUGAUACGGGCGGGCUAGAGUUCGGUAGGGGAGACUGGAAUUCCUGGUGUAGCGGUGAAAUGCGCAGAUAUCAGGAGGAACACCGGUGGCGAAGGCGGGUCUCUGGGCCGAUACUGACGCUGAGGAGCGAAAGCGUGGGGAGCGAACAGG
rnacentral:rRNA from 1 species